rnacentral:lncRNA from 1 species
UGAUAGAUAUACUUGAGAAUUAACUUAUUUGUGUCCAUUCAACAAUAUGAUAAUUAGUCUGCGGCACAUUGAUAAAUAUAUGUAUGUCUUCAUCUUCGGCAUUAGUAGUACCACACUGCUCUGAUUUGGUAGCAUGGGCCUAGGCGGUUAGCCACAGUUUUGGAUCAGCUCAAUCGAAGAACAGUGUCCAGUUGAUUAUUGAACCUACAAAUAGCCGUAGCAAUUCCACUAGAAUUUUGUGUGGUUAAGCCUGGAGUGAGGUACGAUUGUUGACAUGCUAUUGCGUAAUUAUUUAAGUCAGGUUUUUAACUUUUUAUAUAUUCUAAUUGUUGCUUUAUUAUUUAUCAACUGAGGCAUGAUUAUUGUGUGCACUUCUUACUGAAGAUGAUCCUGGUGUUGUUUGUUUGACAAAAGAAAGAGAGGCUCGAUGUGCAUAUUUAUCCUUAUUUUGUUCAAUUAUAAUGGGAUGAAGUUACUUCAUUGACUGAUAGUUGUUGGUAGUGAUAGACAAUAGGCUAUUUACUAGAGCAGUUCAAGCAAGAAUACUUCCAGAAUCCAUCUUGUGAUCUGUUGGUAAAUUAGUAUUGCAGUUACUAAGCCUUUGUGCAUUCCGAUACAGCUCUACUGAAAUGCUGCUUUCUUAUGUCCAUUUUAAAUCCAGUCACUAUGGCUGAGCAGGCAUCAAGUCAAGCAAAGGGGAUUUUAUGGUUGCAGCCGAGACCAGUGCUUAGAAGAAAUUGACAGGACAGAUGAAGUAUCCAUAUAUGAGAUAAAACCAGUGACAAUCCAUCUAAUACCAUGGGUCCACAUGAUGAGAAGGAUAUUUGCAUACCAGGGAAAGCAUCACAUAAGAGGUCAUUUUUCUCAGUUUCAUAGGUAUUACAGAAUUGUCUGGGUCGAACUUUAUGUUAUUCAUAGAAAGAAAUGCAUGAGGCAAAGAUUGUUAUAACACCCAAUAACUGAGAAAAAACACCAGUUCAGGCUUCUAAACUCCACUAUUAGAAAGUAGGACCAUGAGAGCAGAACAAAGAAACUACGUGUCUAUGCUUUUCAAAUGCUUUGCAGCCAUGUUUCCUCCAUGCUUCUACAUGAUAAUUAGGAUGCAGGCAACUGGCAAGUACACUAGCUGAACUUAAAUACUUGAACUACAACUGAAUAUAUGCAUGUCCCACAUCAGGCCAGUGCGAUCGUCGCCUAGCUAGCCGAAUAUGUAUAUGAAACCCUCUUGUUUUUUUAUAAGAGAACUAAAAAUAGCAAUCAGUAUGAAAGCUAUGACGACCUAAAUCUAAUGUGAUUUAUGUGCUUACUUCAUUUCAGUCUGUACCGUGAAAUUCAAGGAACAAUCAAUGUAUCACACCAGAUUUAUUUGUACCUUUUAUCUCACACCAGAUCAAUGUCUCCGUCACCUAGCCCACCGAGUUAACAUGCAAACCUCUUCUUUUAUUAUAGAAAAGGGAAAACAUAUGCAGCAGAUGCUAGCUAAAUUAUGAUCGAUGCAGUUUAAGCUAAUUCAUGUGUUUACGUUGCUUCUCUUCUUAUUGUAAAAUUUAGGGGACGAAAGUUACUCUGUCUGCACCAUGUCAGGAGGGUGCUUUUGGAUGUCGACUUCAUUUAUUUCAUAUGUAAGGUAAGGAUUUAAAGGUCAAACAUCUCAUGCUUGGUUACUUUUCUGUGUAUGUAUGUUCCUUGCAUGGUUUUGAGUUUCGGAGUUAAUGGGGAUUAAAAUUAUACGUUUUUUGGAUUCUGAUUCAGUGAGAUGCUUAAACAAUGAUAAUUUUUACUUUCAAACAAAUUUGAUGCUGACUUGUGAUAUAUUUCUCAGUUUCCUUACCCUUGUGUGUUCAGCUACCUAUUCUACAAGUUUUAUUGUAGGAAACCUCCAUUUAUAUUACUGAGUAGUUUACUCGAUUGAGCAGUUCACUCAAUCGAGGUUCAAGUGUUAGGUUAUCGUGGCGUAUCUUUUAGUUUCUGAAACACACAUUGUUUGGUUCAAAUAGAGAUGUGUAGCAGAGACGUUCAAGCGGAAAAUGGCAAUUACUAACUACUCCCUCCGUCCGGGAAAAGUUGUCUCCAUGGUCUUUUUCUGAAAACACCCCCGGCGAAUUCCCGACAAACCCGCAGCUCCCCGUCGUCUCCCCCGCCCCUCUGUCGUGCUCCCUCGCGCCUCGGCAGCUCGGCUCCUCCGCAGCCCCCCGCAGGUCCCCGCGUCGCCGGAGCUCUCCUGCCCCAAGCCUCCCCCACCCCACGCCUCCCCCGCAGCUUCCCUCUCCUUGUUCCCCUCCUCUUUCCCCGUGGUGAUCCACGGCGAGGAGAAGGCUCGAUUUUUCUUCGAUCUACUCGGCGGCGGCCAUUUCCAAGUCCUCCUCCUCGGCGCUGCGGCGGCGGGGCCGAGCAGAAGAAGUGGAUGCGCGAGUAUGCGGCAAAGGAGGUCACCUUCGGCAUUGGCGCGCACGUCGGCAUGCUGUGGUGCGUUAACGAACUCGCGAACGCCGUCAAGGUCACCAUGUGCGGUGCGAAGGGAGGGGCCGCGGCGGCGGCGCCGUGGUGGAGGCUUCCCGUGGAGGUGCUGCUACUGUGGGCGACGCGCGCAGCGAGGAGCGCGUGGUCGGUGCCCGUCGCCAUCGCGCUGCUCGGGAUCGCCGUGCGGGGCCGCCGGAUGCGGAGGCAGAGCAAGGCCGUGGCGCGCUUGCGGCUUGUCCUUGACGAUAAGGUCAGGCCCUUUGCCCCUUUCAGCCCCAUGCCGCGUCCCAAUCACUUGAUAUUGCCCCGCUGUGCUUGUGCUUGAUGUGAUCUUUGUGCUUCACGGGAAAAAUGUUGAAAUUCAGUUUGCAAAGAAUUGCAUUGAACCUCUCUGCAAAUUCCUGAACUUGACGAACCAGCUCAACAAGCUGCUAUUUUUAGCAUUCCCCUUCCUUUUUUGUGCCUGCAGGACUAUAGUAGGUUUUGAUGCUAGUUCAGUGAUUUAAUUGUUAUAGCUCGCUGCAAUGUGAUGUUCAGUCAUUAGUGCCUGCAGUACCAAAUGUGAUGUUUGAUAUUUGCAACUUGGUCAUAACUCUGAUUAUCCAAACCAACAUCAACAUUUACUCAUCUGCUAACUUAUGCUUCCUCAAUGGUGGGCAGGUCUAGGUUAUUCAGGCCAAUGACAGGUAUUCCUUCAGGAGCUGCUAGCUAACAAAAUUGUCCAUUGUAGUUCAGUGAUUGCACAAAAUGUGUCCAGAAUCUAGCCUAAUUUAUUUACUGUCAAUAUCCUGUGUUGUAAUUCAGAUGUUUACAAAUUCAGUGCCACACUGAAAUUUUGAUCUACCUUCACCAAGUUCAGUAAAUCUUAACUCUUAAUGUCAGAUUGUUAAUUCUGAAACUGUGAUUUCUGGAGUACAUGUGGAGUAGUAGGAUCUGAAGAUUUUGUGUGUCUAGAUGUCGUUGCUGGAGUACAUUAUCUACCAAAAUCACCGCAAUCAAGAGUACACAAAGUCUAGAUAUGCACCAUGUUCCUGUUAAUUCUGAAACACACCCUGUUAGUUGCUACUCCAUCUAACAGUGUUGCCACCAUGUUCUUGUCCUGUUAAUCAAGAGUGCUACUCCAUCUAACUGUCAUGAGGGAUUAUAUAGGGUGAAUUUGCAAUGCAAUGCCAGUACUACACCUGACGAUUUGCAACGCCAGUGUGAAUUUGCAGUGCAAAAAAAUCGUUAGAAAUUAGAGUUUCUCAGAUAAAUUGUGAGAAAAUUAGAGUUUCUCAGAUAUGCCAGCAAGAAAAUUCCUGUUGUUAAAUUUACUGAAAAUUCAGUUAAUUUGGCUUUACUGUAAACUUUACCGAAACUAAAUUCAGUUAACUCCUUACAAUAAUUUGGAAUUUGACCACAAGGAGCAGUCAACAAGAAUGUUCCAAUGAACCAUUUUUUGGAUGACCCAUAAGACUAACUGAAGAAAACCGUAUGUAUAAAGACUGCAACUUUUUGAUUGAAAAUGUUAUUCUCCUGGUCAAGACUACAACAUUUGAUUGAUUGUUUUGAAAAAUAUACUGCUGUCUUGAGGAAUCUGGUGGAACGUUGAUUUGUUUCCAAAAUAAAUUGAUUGAUUGUGCACUGAAAAUAUUUGGAAAUAUACUCCAGACUUGAGGAAUUGGUGGAAUCAUAUUGAUUCUUUCCAAAAUAAAAUUGAUUGAUUGUGCACUGAAAUUAUUUGGAAAUAUACUCCAAUCUCGAGGAACCUGGUGGAAUCAUAUUGAUUGUUUGUUUCCAAAAAUGGAUUGUUAAUUUGCUUCCAGAAAAUGAUUGAUUGUUUGUUUCCAAACAUCUUCAUGCGUCCAGCAGGUAGGCGGCGGCGGAAUGCCUACGAGAGGCGGGGCCGGUGAUUGGAUUCGUAGCAGCAGCAGCAGAGGCGGGGGCGGGGAAAGAGCGUUUGGCUACCAGCUCGGU